rnacentral:rRNA from 1 species
GACAUCGUUUACGGCGUGGACUACCAGGGGUAUCUAAUCCUGUUUGCUCCCCACGCUUUCGCACCUCAGUGUCAGUAUCAGUCCAGGUGGUCGCCUUCGCCACUGGUGUUCCUUCCUAUAUCUACGCAUUUCACCGCUACACAGGAAAUUCCACCACCCUCUACCGUACUCUAGCUCAGUAGUUUUGGAUGCAGUUCCCAGGUUGAGCCCGGGGAUUUCACAUCCAACUUGCUGAACCACCUACGCCCGCUUUACGCCCAGUAAUUCCGAUUAACGCUUGCACCCUUCGUAUUACCGCGGCUGCUGGCACGAAGUUAGCCGGUGCUUAUUCUGUUGGUAACGUCAAAACAGCAAGGUAUUAACUUACUGCCCUUCCUCCCAACUUAAAGUGCUUUACAAUCCGAAGACCUUCUUCACACACGCGGCAUGGCUGGAUCAGGCUUUCGCCCAUUGUCCAAUAUUCCCCACUGCUGCCUCCCGUAGGAGUCUGGACCGUGUCUCAGUUCCAGUGUGACUGAUCAUCCUCUCAGACCAGUUACGGAUCGUCGCCUUGGUAGGCCUUUACCCCACCAACUAGCUAAUCCGACCUAGGCUCAUCUGAUAGCGUGAGGUCCGAAGAUCCCCCACUUUCUCCCUCAGGACGUAUGCGGUAUUAGCGCCCGUUUCCGGACGUUAUCCCCCACUACCAGGCAGAUUCCUAGGCAUUACUCACCCGUCCGCCGCUGAAUCCAGGAGCAAGCUCCCUUCAUCCGCUCGACUUGCAUGUGUUAGGCCUGCCGCCAGCGUUCAAUCUGAGCCAGGAUCAAACCCUC